UACAGAGGAGCCAAGCGUUGUCCGGAUUGACUGGGCGUAAAGCGCACGCAGGCGGACGCGCGCGUGGGGUGUGAAAUCUGGCCGCUUAACGGCCAGGCGCCAUCCCAUACGGCGCGACUGGAGUGAUGCAGAGGUCGAUGGAAUUGCCGGUGUAGUGGUGAAAUGCGUAGAGAUCGGGCAGGAACACCCAGGGGGGAAACCAGUCGACUGGGCAUCUACUGACGCUGAGGUGCGAGAGCGUGGGGAGCGAACCGG
rnacentral:rRNA from 1 species